rnacentral:rRNA from 3 species
UACUCCUACGGGAGGCAGCAGUGGGGAAUAUUGCACAAUGGAGGAAACUCUGAUGCAGCGACGCCGCGUGAGUGAAGAAGGUCUUCGGAUCGUAAAACUCUGUCCUUGGUGAAGAAAAGGACGGUAGCCAAGGAGGAAGCCCCGGCUAACUACGUGCCAGCAGCCGCGGUAAUACGUAGGGGGCGAGCGUUGUCCGGAUUUACUGGGCGUAAAGGGUGAGUAGGCGGUUGUAUAUGUCAGGUGUAAAAGGCUAUGGCUUAACCAUGGUUAGCACUUGAAACUGUGCAACUUGAGUGCAGGAGAGGUAAGCGGAAUUCCUAGUGUAGCGGUGAAAUGCGUAGAUAUUAGGAGGAACACCAGUGGCGAAGGCGGCUUACUGGACUGUAACUGACGCUGAGUCACGAAAGCGUGGGUAGCAAACAGGAUUAGAUACCCUGGUAGUCA